rnacentral:rRNA from 1 species
GUCCACGCCGUAAACGAUGGGUGCUAGGUGUGGGGGUGUCGACUCCCCCGUGCCGAAGCUAACGCAUUAAGCACCCCGCCUGGGGAGUACGGCCGCAAGGCUAAAACUCAAAGGAAUUGACGGGGCCCGCACAAGCAGCGGAGCAUGUGGUUUAAUUCGACGCAACGCGAAGAACCUUACCAAGGCUUGACAUGCACUUGAAAGCCGUAGAAAUACGGUCCCUCUUCGGAGCAAGUGCACAGGUGGUGCAUGGCUGUCGU